GUAGUCCUACGGGACGCAGCAGUGGGGAAUAUUGCACAAUGGGGGAAACCCUGAUGCAGCGACGCCGCGUGGGUGACGAAGUAUUUCGGUAUGUAAAGCCCUAUCAGCAGGGAAGAAGAUGACAGUACCUGACUAAGAAGCCCCGGCUAACUACGUGCCAGCAGCCGCGGUAAUACGUAGGGGGCAAGCGUUAUCCGGAUUUACUGGGUGUAAAGGGAGCGUAGACGGCAGCGCAAGUCUGGAGUGAAAUGCCGGGGCCCAACCCCGGAACUGCUUUGGAAACUGUGCAGCUCGAGUGCAGGAGG
rnacentral:rRNA from 1 species